CCUACGGGUGGCAGCAGUGGGGAAUAUUGCACAAUGGGGGAAACCCUGAUGCAGCGACGCCGCGUGAGCGAGGAAGUAUUUCUGUAUGUAAAGCUCUAUCAGCAGGGACGAAAAACGACGUUCCCUUACUCAGCCUCCCCGGCUAACUACGUGCCAGCAGCCGCGGUAAUACGUAGGGGGCAAGCGUUAUCCGGAUUUACUGGGGGUAAAGGGCGCGUAGACGGCACGGCAAGCCAGAAGUGAAAGUGCAGGGCUCAACCCUGUACAUGCGUUUUGAACGGUGGUGCUAGAGGGGAGGUGAGGUAAGUGGAAGUCCGAGUGUAGGGGUGAAAUGCGUAGAUAUUAGGAGGAACACGAGUGGCGAAGGAGGAUGACGGGACUGGAACUGACGUGGAGGAUCGAAAGCGUGGG
rnacentral:rRNA from 1 species